rnacentral:rRNA from 1 species
UACGUAGGGUGCGAGCGUUGUCCGGAAUUAUUGGGCGUAAAGAGCUUGUAGGCGGUUUGUCGCGUCUGCCGUGAAAAUUCGAGGCUCAACCUCGAACUUGCGGUGGGUACGGGCAGACUAGAGUGUGGUAGGGGAGACUGGAAUUCCUGGUGUAGCGGUGAAAUGCGCAGAUAUCAGGAGGAACACCGGUGGCGAAGGCGGGACUCUGGGCCGAUACUGACGCUGAGGAGCGAAAGCGUGGGGAGCGAACAGG